GUGCUCGCUUCGGCAGCACAUAUACUAAAAUUGGAACGAUACAGAAAAUAUUAGCAUGGCCCCUGCACAAGGAUGAUACGCAAAUUCAUGAAGCAAUCCAUUAAAAA
rnacentral:snRNA from 1 species